GACGAAUGAUGGCGGCGUGCUUAACACAUGCAAGUCGAACGCUGAAGCUUGGUGCUUGCACUGGGUGGAUGAGUGGCGAACGGGUGAGUAAUACGUGAGUAACCUGCCCUUGACUCUGGGAUAAGCCUGGGAAACUGGGUCUAAUACUGGAUAUGACAUGCCACUGCAUGGUGGUGUGUGGAAAGGGUUUUACUGGUUUUGGAUGGGCUCACGGCCUAUCAGCUUGUUGGUGGGGUAAUGGCCUACCAAGGCGACGACGGGUAGCCGGCCUGAGAGGGUGACCGGCCACACUGGGACUGAGACACGGCCCAGACUCCUACGGGAGGCAGCAGUGGGGAAUAUUGCACAAUGGGCGGAAGCCUGAUGCAGCGACGCCGCGUGAGGGAUGACGGCCUUCGGGUUGUAAACCUCUUUCAGCCCGGAAGAAGCGAGAGUGACGGUACGUGCAGAAGAAGCGCCGGCUAACUACGUG
rnacentral:rRNA from 1 species